UACGAAGGGGGCUAGCGUUGCUCGGAAUUACUGGGCGUAAAGCGCACGUAGGCGGCUUUCUAAGUCGGGGGUGAAAUCCUGGAGCUCAACUCCAGAACUGCCUUCGAUACUGGAGAGCUCGAGUCCGGGAGAGGUGAGUGGAACUGCGAGUGUAGAGGUGAAAUUCGUAGAUAUUCGUAAGAACACCAGUGGCGAAGGCGGCUCACUGGCCCGGUACUGACGCUGAGGUGCGAAAGCGUGGGGAGCAACAGG
rnacentral:rRNA from 1 species